ACGAACGCUGGCGGCAGGCCUAACACAUGCAAGUCGAGCGAGAUCUUCGGGUCUAGCGGCGGACGGGUGAGUAACGCGUGGGAAUAUGCCCUUCUCUGCGGAAUAGCCUCGGGAAACUGAGCGUAAUACCGCAUACGCUCUUUGGGGGAAAGAUUUAUCGGAGAAGGAUUAGCCCGCGUUGGAUUAGGUAGUUGGUGGGGUAACGGCCUACCAAGCCGACGAUCCAUAGCUGGUUUGAGAGGAUGAUCAGCCACACUGGGACUGAGACACGGCCCAGACUCCUACGGGAGGCAGCAGUGGGGAAUCUUAGACAAUGGGGGCAACCCUGAUCUAGCCAUGCCGCGUGAGUGAUGAAGGCCUUAGGGUUGUAAAGCUCUUUCAGCUGGGAAGAUAAUGACGGUACCAGCAGAAGAAGCCCCGGCUAACUCCGUG
rnacentral:rRNA from 1 species